rnacentral:lncRNA from 1 species
AUGAACCUCGGAGAUGGGUUGCUGCUCCACCUCGAGAAUGGAAAGCCACAGAUCGUAUUACUGCAUCGCGGGGCGACAUCUGGGAUAAACAAGCUCUAUAGGCCUGGAUUACCCAGAAGGCCGAAGGGCCCGCUAACCUCCUCUGCCCCUCUCGCCUCCUCCUCCACCCGACGGAGCACCGUGACAUCACGCAACUCCUCAAAGACACCUGCCAAUCACACGACAGUGGUCAAGAGCAGAGCUGUGUCAGUGUUGUCUGUACCAGAGCGCUACAGACCCCCCCCGCGCGUUCCAUCCUCCAAUAGGACAACUAAGACUCCUGCCAAUGGCAGGACAAGACAGACAGAGGCUUUGGCCAAUGGGGAUGCAGAUAUGAGGGAGGGCUUGGCUCGUCUGACCAACCAGGAGCCGACUGCCAGCAGCACGUUCCUCAGCCCAGAUGAGGAGGAGGUCCUGAAGCCGUCUGCAGACCAGACCCAGGUCAGCCUCUCUCCUUCUACCCCUAAGCCAGAGCAGAACAACCCCUUGCUCCUCCCUCUUAGAGCUCCGCCUCCAGCUCUAGCCCCUCCCCAAGCAGGAGCUCCGCCCCCAUCCCUGGCCGCACCCGUUUCCCCUCCCCGAGCUCUAGCCGCGCCCCGUGGUCGAGGGAGAGAGGGGCAGUCCAGCAGCUGUGGAGGGAGAGCCAGUUUCCUGAGGUCCAUGACAGCCCUCCUGGACCCUGCAGAGAUGGAGGAGAGAGAGAGGAGGAGAAGCAAACAGCAGGAUCAACUGCGGGCGAUCGAGGCUCAGCUAGCAGAACAACGUGAGCAGAGAGAGGGGGAGAAGAGGAGGGAGGAGGAGACGGAGGAGAAGAGGAAGGAGCAGGUGGAGCAGAUCCCACAGCAGCAGGAGGUUCUACUGAGUAGUGAGAAGCCAAUCAGAGAGCUCCCAAGAUCGCAUGGCCAUGUAGUGCUGAAGCAACACAGUGUCAGCAUCAGAGGACCUAAAGGAGGUCAGGGAGCUAAGGGAGAGGAACCAACACGGAAUAAGAAGCGAGGAAAAGGAGAUCUGUACCAGGAGUUGGCGAGGCCCGAGAGAACAGACACUCCAAGGGGGCUUCCUGCUGUCAGACCACCGGGCCCCUCCUCCCAUCAUCCCGAGCAGGACUACUUUCCCUACGUCCGAACAGCUGACAUCAUCCAUCUUGAACCACUGGAUCGCAACGGCACAGCCACCCCACAUCCUACCAACACACACAGUCAGAAAGAAAUACUACUGAGUCUUGCUGCUCUACGGAAGGGUUUGUUGCAGAAGCAGAAAGAGAUGGAGUCAAGUGGGAGGCUCCUCCCCCCAGUGACAUCACAACGCAGCUGA